AUGGUUAUAUCCAGCGGGAAUUCAACAAGUGUACGGUGGGUCCGACCAAAAAAAUAUUCGAGCAACUCAUGGAUGAUAACUCCGAAAAGAGUGUCGUCCUUGAUAAAGUCAGAGUGUCUUGCAGAUACACCCCCUCCUCUCCAUAAAUUUCCAACCAAAUAUACGUCAUCAUUUCAACCCAUUUCAAAUUCUAAUCAACCGAUAAGAUCAAAGAUAAAAUUUUCAAAGAACCUUAUUGAUCUACCUUCUAAAGGAUCAUUCUUUACAUGUUCCAAUGGCGGACAUGGUAGUGGUUUAGUGGGAAUAAAUUUGGACACACUUUUUUGCACUCAGACUUUGCUAUUUUCUUGUGCUUCUGCGUCAGUUUCAACCCAUACCUAA